GAGGCUCAGUGUGCCUUCCUGGAAAAAUGUAAACAUGAAUCUGUGGAUUUCCUUGGGAUGAAGAUUAGAUUCCUACUGAGGCAUGACGGAUGAAGGAGGAGGAGGUGUUUGAACUGGAGUGUGACUUCCCUGAUGUUCCUCCAGGAAACAGGAGGCUAUUCUACCUGACACAGGGUCACUGAGGAGCCAGUCGCCCAAAUCCCAAAUCCUGGGUAGAGAGGCUCAAUGAAUGUGGAGUGGAAUGUGUGCACG